rnacentral:tRNA from 1 species
GCGGGGGUAGAGAAGUGGUUAUCUCGCCAGUCUCAUAAACUGGAAAUCGGUGGUUCAAAUCCAUCCUCCCGUA